rnacentral:rRNA from 1 species
AUGCAGUCGAACGGCAGCACGGGAGCAAUCCUGGUGGCGAGUGGCGAACGGGUGAGUAAUAUAUCGGAACGUGCCCAGUCGUGGGGGAUAACGCAGCGAAAGCUGUGCUAAUACCGCAUACGAUCUCUGGAUGAAAGCGGGGGACUCGUAAGAGCCUCGCGCGAUUGGAGCGGCCGAUAUCAGAUUAGCUAGUUGGUGGGGUAAAGGCCCACCAAGGCGACGAUCUGUAGCUGGUCUGAGAGGACGACCAGCCACACUGGAACUGAGACACGGUCCAGACUCCUACGGGAGGCAGCAGUGGGGAAUUUUGGACAAUGGGCGCAAGCCUGAUCCAGCAAUGCCGCGUGCAGGAUGAAGGCCUUCGGGUCGUAAACUGCUUUUGUACGGAACGAAAAGGUCUGCCUUAAUACGGUGGGCCCAUGACGGUACCGUAAGAAUAAGCACCGGCUAACUACGUGCCAGCAGCCGCGGUAAUACGUAGGGUGCGAGCGUUAAUCGGAAUAACUGGGCGUAAAGCGUGCGCAGGCGGUUAUAUAAGACAGAUGUGAAAUCCCCGGGCUCAACCUGGGACCUGCAUUUGUGACUGUAUAGCUAGAGUACGGUAGAGGGGGGAUGGAAUUCCGCGUGUAGCAGUGAAAUGCGUAGAUAUGCGGAGGAACACCGAUGGCGAANGGCAUCCCCUGGACCUGUACUGACGCUCAUGCACG